rnacentral:misc_RNA from 1 species
AAAAGUUUCAUAGUGGAAAGAGAGGUUUAGAGGUGAAUUUGGUGUUUGGGAACCAUUGAGUGACCCUCCUUUUUUUUAUGCCUGAUUAGGCUAAAUUUCACUUGUUGUCCUUAACCUUGGAGCUCUAUAACUAUGUCGUCCCUGAAUUUCAAUUUGUAAUGUAAACAUCUAAACUUCAAUUUGGGUAAUAUUAAAGCUCUUCUAACUUUUUAUAGCUGGUUUUUCGGUUAAAAAUCUAAUUUAGCAUCAUUAAAAUUAAAAAAUAGAAUAAAAUAAAA